rnacentral:lncRNA from 1 species
UCCUGACGUCAUAUUCAACUUCCACCAUCCUCUCCCCUAGCCCCUGGCGCCACCUAGGAAAAACGGAGGAGCAUUUUGGCCACCCAUGGACUUUGGAGGUCUAAGAUCACGUCGUGGUCGUCGUUGUCGUCGGAUGGACACCUCUCCUGAAGAACUUUGGAUGACAGCCAGCUGUCGGAGGAUACCAACAGGCUCCAGUGGCCCCGCCCCCGCCAUUACAUUUAAUCAAAAGUGUAUUCAAAAUAUGAUUCUGGGGGAUUAUAGUGCAGAUUUGCGGGAGGCGCUCAGCGUAGGCAGAGGUAGUGGGAACAGAUUGUGGCUGGGAGCCUGAGGAUGGGAUAAUCGCGGGCUCAGACGUGCCAUUCUCAGGCCUUGGGGUCACCAUUAGCUUUGGAGGAGACCUUGAGCAUCAGAAGGAGGCCUAACGAACCUCAUCCCAGCCCGGCCCUUUUCCCAGCAUCCACUGUACCGAGAUGGAGAUAAAGACCUGUUCUGACCUUGGAGUUAGCAGGCUCUCUCUUAUGCGCAGUUUGGGCUUCCUAAUGAUGACUCGGUGAGAAAAGGCCCCUCCACCCUCCUCUAACGGUCUAGAUCCAACAAGAAGUAUUAGCAGCCUCCCCUGCAGCCUCCUAGGGAGGGGUGCAGUGUCUACCUGGACCGAGGAGGGGGUAUGGUGGAGAGUGCCUUGAAAGAAACCUUCAGCUAAUGCUCUUUAUUACAAGCGUUAAUCCUGCAAAGCCGACUGGAAAUAAUGUUUAUCUUUUCGCAGUUUAAUUUUCCGGACCCUAAGCCUCAGGUAGAUGAGUGGUCCAGCCCUGGAGACUGCCUUCAGAGUGACUUUCUCCAAUUCAUACCAACUCUCCCUGUUAACCACCAUGACUUCCCAGACUCCCUCCAGGCCUCUGCCUGUCUCAUUGCCUAGAACUGAGGUCUGCAGCCCAAGACCCC